rnacentral:misc_RNA from 1 species
AUUGCUGCCAAAUGAUUGAAGUGUUUUACUUUUAGAAGAAAAAGUGCUAAAAGAAAUGUAGAUAAAGCACAUCGUAUUUUAGAUAUUUUUUAACAUAAUAUUUCUUUUAAUAAUGUUUUAUUUACUAAAAUAAAUAAGACGUUCUUUGAAUUAACAGUAACGGUAUUUGGAUGGAUUUUCUAGAUUCAUUAGAUCUACAACUGUAUGCGCAUGACAAAAAGACGGCCCGCGUGCGCUCAUGGUACCUCUUCGAACAGUACAAGGCGCUGGAAGAACACCAGCUGGACGCGGCGCAGCAGCUGCGGACCAGAGCGGUGCAGGAACAACUGCUGCAGCAGGAACUCACGGAGCGGCGCGCUCGGCGUAGUCUUUUUGAUCAGGUCAGCGUCUAUAUCAGCGACCCAAAGCAAGGCAGCCAAGCCACCUGCCUCAGCACCAACAACGAUGAUUUCUAUGAGAGCUUCUGCGAGCUCCGUGACUUCGAAGACGCCCAGAGCCUGGGCAGCCACAAUGGCUCCGACAACACCUUCAUGGAGGAUAAGAAUUUAGAAGACUUCGAGGAAGAUACUAGCCGCGCGGACAGUGUUUCUAGCGUCGUUGACAGGGAAGCUACGGUCAGAUCCCCGCAACGAACUAUUACUGAAAACAUCAAGCUGCAUCUCCAGACCGUCAAAGAAAACAUGGCAAGCCUGGAAAGAUAUGCGCGGACGGGAGAGGGGGACCGUAUGUCGGAGACUAGCGUAGAUUCCCUGGGUUGGCCCAAGCGAAGCUAUCGUCGGAAGAACGUUGAUAACAACCAAUUGUUUUAUAUGUGGACCCGACUGGUUGCCUUUGCGUACCAUAUUAUACAGCUUAAUCAUGGCAACUGCUAUUACGACUACAGCUCCCAACUGCUGACGGCCGUGCUGGCGUGCGAUGCGCUGCGCCGCGGCGUCAACCGCAUGUUAUUACGUCUCACCAGUCAAAUUUGCUAGUGAUUCUGAAGACCGUUCAACUGUCUGCAGCAAAAAACUUAAAAAGAAGAAGUCUUACGGGUCGAAAAAAACAAGGAAUUCGUCUAAAUAUAAGUUGACUAGGUACAUUCCAGGUAAAUUCGAGUUUGCGAAAUAAUAUCACGAGGCGCAGCGAAGCUGACCACCAUUCUGACCGUUCCUGGCGAAACUGCAGAAAAUACUCAGUCACACACACAGUCGAACAAAACGGCA